rnacentral:rRNA from 1 species
GAGUUUGAUCUUGGCUCAGAUUGAACGCUGGCGGCAUGCCUUACACAUGCAAGUCGAACGGCAGCAUGAUCUAGCUUGCUAGAUUGAUGGCGAGUGGCGAACGGGUGAGUAAUACAUCGGAACGUGCCCUGUAGUGGGGGAUAACUAGUCGAAAGAUUAGCUAAUACCGCAUACGACCUGAGGGUGAAAGUGGGGGACCGCAAGGCCUCAUGCUAUAGGAGCGGCCGAUGUCUGAUUAGCUAGUUGGUGGGUAAAGGCCCACCAAGGCGACGAUCAGUAGCUGGUCUGAGAGGACGAUCAGCCACACUGGGACUGAGACACGGCCCAGACUCCUACGGGAGGCAGCAGUGGGGAAUUUUGGACAAUGGGCGAAAGCCUGAUCCAGCAAUGCCGCGUGUGUGAAGAAGGCCUCGG